GGCUGGCCCGGCCAGCACCUUCUGUGCACGGAGCCUUGGUCUCCAAAGGAGCAGACUGUGUGCGCUCCCACCUUACUGCUUGGAAGCAGGAGGCGUUGGACUCAGAGGUUCUCUUGUUUCUUGAAUCACCAAACCAGAGUUCAGAGAUCUAAAACAGAUAUGUAAGAAAUUUCACAUUUCUGGGAGUGACCAAAAAAAGUGUGGUUAAACUUUGAGCAGAGAUUGCCAAGAUACACUUGAAGGAUUCUUGCAGAUGUGUCCCUGGGGAGGAGAGUGCCUGCUGGGGUUCCCAGUUCUCAACACUUGGUGAUCUUUAUGAAUCUAUCUCGUGUAACUAACGGCUACCAUAUGGGACAGUGUGACCCUGGGCAAUGCCCUGCUCUGCUGGGCACUCUCAUCUCACUCAGGCGUUGCUAGUGAUGGACUGGAUUCCUUGAGGCACCAAAAAAGUGGCUUGUGGGAUAAACGUGGGGAACAUGAAAACAUCUCAGACUCCGAACAAGAUUACUUUGAGUCUAAGACAGCAAUGUACUAUGACCUUGGGUGAAUUAUUGAACGGCUUACCAUCCCAGGUUCCUCAUCCUUAGAAUGAGGGUGGGAAAAACCAUCUCAAAGGAUCAUCCUGAGGAUUAGAAAUCUUGAUACAUGCCAAGGUCAUGAAAGAGUACCCAAAGAGAGACCACAGCAAGCACGGAAUGUAGGUUAGCUUGUGUUACUGAUGUUAUUAUUAUCCUCAGUUCUCAACUGUUUCGGACAAUGAGAUUGUCAGGGCAGUGGCCUGUAGAUAAUGAAAAUCUUCCCAUGCACCGAGACCUCUAGAGCCUUGAGCAACCUCUUAGCACUGCAAAACUAUUUCCACAAAAUAAACACUCCUGUUCCCUCCA